AGAGUUUGAUCAUGGCUCAGAACGAACGCUGGCGGCAGGCCUAACACAUGCAAGUCGAGCGAGAAGGAACUUUCGGGUUCUGGAGAGCGGCGGACGGGUUAGUAACGCGUGGGAACGUGCCUUAAGGUCUGGGAUAACUAUUGGAAACGAUAGCUAAUACCGGAUGGUCCCUUCGGGGUAAAGCUUUAGCGCCUUAAGAUCGGCCCGCGUUAGAUUAGCUAGUUGGUGAGGUAACGGCUCACCAAGGCGACGAUCUAUAGCUGGUUUGAGAGGAUGAUCAGCAACACUGGAACUGAGACACGGUCCAGACUCCUACGGGAGGCAGCAGUGGGGAAUAUUGCGCAAUGGAGGAAACUCUGACGCAGCCAUGCCGCGUGAGUGAAGAAGGCCUUCGGGUUGUAAAACUCUUUCAACGGUGAAGAUGAUGACGGUAACCGUAGAAGAAGCACCGGCUAACUUCGUGCCAGCAGCCGCGGUAAUACGAAGGGUGCUAGCGUUGUUCGGAAUUACUGGGCGUAAAGGGCGUGUAGGCGGACAUAUCAGUCAGGGGUGAAAUCCCGGGGCUCAACCCCGGAACUGCCUUUGAUACUGUAUGUCUAGAAUCUGUGAGGGGAUAGUGGAAUAUCAAGUGUAGAGGUGAAAUUCGUAG
rnacentral:rRNA from 1 species